rnacentral:rRNA from 1 species
UGGGGAAUAUUGGGCAAUGGGCGAAAGCCUGACCCAGCAACGCCGCGUGAGGGAAGAAGGCCUUCGGGUUGUAAACCUCUGUCCUUAGUGACGAAGGAAGUGACGGUAGCUAAGGAGGAAGCCCCGGCUAACUACGUGCCAGCAGCCGCGGUAAUACGUAGGGGGCGAGCGUUGUCCGGAAUUACUGGGCGUAAAGGGUGCGUAGGCGGUACUUUAAGUUGGAUGUGAAAUCCCCGGGCUUAACCUGGGGCCUGCAUCCAAUACUGGAGAACUAGAGUGCAGGAGAGGGAAGCGGAAUUCCUAGUGUAGCGGUGAAAUGCGUAGAUAUUAGGAAGAACACCAGUGGCGAAGGCGGCUUUCUGGACUGUAACUGACGCUGAGGCACGAAAGCGUGGGGAGCAAACAGGAUUAGAUACCCUGGUAGU